GUGUGUGUGUGUGUAUGUGGAUAAGUCUUCGUGUGCGUGAGGAGCAGAGGGGGCUGGGUGCAGAAAGGGAAACAUUCGUACUGGACGGUGGCCGGGAGAUUACUUCACCUGCACGAGUGGCGGGUCAAAUUGUCCUUUACGGAUGCUUAUUGUAUUCCCUGCCGCGUACUUCUUCAGGUUCAUGCCGCGCGCUUCUAACCACAGAGGGCGGCGGUGGCAAGACGAGGCUGGCGAGUUACAUGUAGUAUUUAUAGUGCAGAUUUCACUCCAGCUUCAACUUCAUCGUGUCAUCACUUUAACACAGUGGUUUUUCUCUUAAAACGCUUUGUUCUAUAAAAAUUAUUUUCAAAGGCCACAGAUUAGCCGAGUUCCCACGACUGUUUUCCUCAAUGAUGGUGCAAAAAAAUUGUUAAACUAUCACGAGCAUCACGAAGACAUCCUUGAGAAACCCAGUAACCUCCACUAGAAACUGUUGAGAGUAGUCAAGAUAGACACCGAAAUGUUUGAGAGUAUGGUUCAAUGCAGGCGACCCGUAAGGAGUCGAGAAUGUCUGAAUUGCUCUCUGAACCAGCGAAUAACACUCCUCCAACCCGCGUCGCCGUCCCUGGUACUCCCCUCACUCUCCCCUUCCACAACCCCUCCCUCCCUCCCCAGUCCCACCGUACUAUCGUCCACGGAACUUAUAAACACUGCUCGCUCGUGUUCCUCUCUUCUGUGUUUCCCGCGGCAGCUACCACCCCGUCUGCCUCAACUCCUUUGUCUUGACCUUAGCACAGUAAUUUACAAGCUGCAUCAAGAAAAAAUGUAUCGUAUUUAUAGAGCUUGUCCAAAAAAAGGAGGUCGGAUAAAUUGGCUAACUCGCAACUCGCGCCGGUUCGCUCCAGCCCUCAGAACUUGGCUCUCAGUCUUCGACGCGCCGGGUAGCGAUGAAGUUGGCGGUGCGGGGUGGCUGGCCAGGCGAGUGUCCGCGUGAUGGAUAGACACACACUCUCGAGGAUGACAUAACCUGCCGCCAGUGACUAUGCCGCUUUGGAAGUUCAGGAUUGUGUUACCAAAAUUACUUCCUGAAAACAAGUUUAUAUUCUGUUCUUUAAUAUCCUAACGAUGUAAUAUAGAAAUAAUACUACUUGCUAAUCAGAAAAGUUGUUAUCAGGGCAAGUUUGAAUCUAUGAGCGAGAGAUAAGACCCGCAGUAUGAGUGAAGGCACCAGCGAGUGUUAACGCGCGCCUCUCAUGGUGACGAAACUUGAGUGCUAGUGAAGAAUUAGGAAUUGAAAAGGAAGAGAAGAGUGUUGAGGUGUGUGUGAACGAUGGGAGGCAGCGGGUGGGCGGUGGCGCCAGGAAGGGCAGGUGUGUGCACCGCGUGGUGGCUGCUGUGGCUACUGCUGCUGCUGCUGCUGUGUGUCCUCGCGCAAGGUACGUCUUGGAGUCUCGGCUGCAGACGGCGUGAAGUAAUGGAAAUCAAUGGGCAGUAGUAUUCACGGGCCAACACACAGCUGGUGCCGCGCCGCGCUUACUACUUGAGUACACCAGGGAGGAGAAAAAGUGGCCUGAAUGGUGCUUGUUUACGUUCCGCAUUGGUGUUUGCUGAGUGCACACUUUAUCAGCUGGGAACAGGACUUGUGUGUGUGUGUGUGUGUGUGUGUGUGUGUGUGUGUGUGUGUGUGUGUGUGUGUGUGUUUGUGUGUGUGUGUGUGUAUGUAUGUGUGCCGUGCGUACCUGUCUGCCUUUUCAACAAACUUAAUUGUCAUGUUUGUGUGUACGCGUAAAGAUUUCCGUGCAAGGUUCUAAAAAUUAAAAACUUACUUCACGUGAUAGACUUCGUGGUGUGAUUAAAGAUGUUUGAAAACUGUUCAUAUUUUUCACUUGUAAUAAUUUUUGUACAACACGUCCAGGUCACUCGGUUACUCGCGAACUUUCUGAAGCCUUCCUUUCGUGUACGUUUCCUGAGGGACUUCCUGCUUCCCCUCAGUGUUGUUUGAGGCGCCGUGCACGCAGCGCCGCGCCACCAUCCCUCACUCCACUUUCGUGCAACGUUGCUAAUUUUUUCUCCCACUAGCCAGCAGGUUUUGUCAGGCCGCGGGCGUCCUCAUCACUGGAGACGGGGCUGCGAAAGACAUGAAAGAAUAUCCUGACAUUAACUCCAUUAUUUGCUCGAGUCAAGUAAGGGAAACUACACGUCGUUUAAAAUUACUGCCAUCUGUAAUUCUCACUGCUAAGAUUGUUCUAUGUCGGCAUUUAGAGCACGGUGAAAAUGUGAUAAGUUUGCUUGUCCACACACACACACAUACAAAAAAAAAAAAGAGAACAAGACAUUAAUUUCGUCUCUUCUUGGCUACAGAAGAGCGUAAGAGACUGGUACAAAAGUAAGUAUCUGAAAUUUACAGAUGACGGGAACAAAAAACUUAUCUGACAAUGAAAUGGAUAAAACGUACAUUUUUUUCAAUACGAGUAUAGUUGAAUAAAGAACUUUUUUUUUUGUUGUUAUUGCACACGUAUGAUCAGUUAACUCUGCGGGCAAAAAAAGAAAAAAAACUUUAGGGUAACUUAAGUGGUAUAAAGAGAUAUUUGAUUCCAUGUAUAUGUAGACACAGCUGUUAGAUUUUGCUUCACAUGAAAGACAAAAUGAAUGCCCAUGAAAGUAAAACUGUUAACGAACAUUCACGAAAAAAAAAAAUAAUACCAAAGAGUAAAAGAAAGAAUAUGUAAAACGAUGCUUCUUAAUCUGCGUCAGAUGAAUAUUGCAGAAAACUAAAAUGUCAGUUUUGUUGAGGGUUGUUUGUGUGAAGGUGAGGCGGAGAUGAGAGAGGGGGAAGGGAGAGGUGAGGGAGAAGGGAGCAGGUGACUUGAUGAGGAAGUGGAGAGGGAGUGGAGGCAAGUUAUGGCCAAUCAAACAUAAUGUAAUGGUUGAUAUGUCAUAGCUAAGGUGUUGUUAUUGCCUGAGAUCGAAGCCGGAGAGAGAGAGAGAGAGAGAGAGAGAGAGAGAGAGAGAGAGAGAGAGAGAGAGAGAGAGAGAGAGAGAGAGAGAGAGAGAACACGAUUUAUUGGCAGCAUUCCUCAGGUAUCGGCAACAUAAAGACUAAGUGAAUCAAAUAAGUCAGUACUCCAUUUCCUUGCCUCGCUUCAUCUCACGUAUGUAAUAAUAAUGACCAGGCUCUCUCUCACUCUCUCUCUCUCUCUCUCUCUCUCUCUCUCUCUCUCUCUCUCUCUCUCUCUCUUGGAAAUCAGAAAAAAAAAACAAGUAAAUAUCCGCCUCAACAUGAACAGAACUACACUACAAAGAAGAACAGUGAAAACAAAGCACAUUUUAAAUUUUUCCUUCAUUUCUAUUAAAUUUGUGUGGUCUGUGAACUGUGCUGUGACCUGCUUUUAACUCUCUCUCUCUCUCUCUCUCUCUCUCUCUCUCUCUCUCUCUCUCUCUCUCUCUCUCUCUCUCUCUCUCUCUCUCUCUCUCUCUCUAUCUGUUUUAUUUUUCUUUUCUUUCUUCUUCUUCUUGUUCUUCUUGUUCUUCUUGUUGUUCUUGUUCUUCUUGUUCUUGUUCUUCUUCUUCUCCUCCUCUAAUACCGAGAUACUGUCCUCCUAAGUAACAAAUUGCAAUAAAAAAUUCCUCAUUGUUUACCUAUGAAAUGUUGCUUUAAUGAGGUUGAUGCUCGUUGCCAAGGUACAAAUAAAAACAACAGAAGUCAUAGUUUUAUUUUUUUAAUCCCCUUUCUCUUUUCUGUAAAACCACAUUGCAUUUCCUCCAUAGAUCAUUGUAUUUUUUUUUCCUUGCUGGUUUUGAAUGUAAGAAGCAGUGGGUGGGUGGGGAGGAGCCUUUUGCCAGUGCUAUCAUGCUUUAUGCUGUGUAGAUAAUACAGUCUCUACAAACACCUGAGUGAGGACUACUAGUGGUCUGAGUUUUUCUGCAUUUCUUCUGUAUUCUUGUUUCUUCUUCUCCUCUUCCAUCUCCCCAUCCCUCUCGUCUCCCCCGGAAGUGUAGAGAGGGAGAGUGUCACAAGAAAUUCUAGUGGACGUCAAUAUCAGGCUGUGAUAAGAAAAAAGGCUUGAUAGGGACUGAAAGUGGUUGGUCAGGAAGAGGAGCGAGACACCGAGAAAUGGACGAAGGGAGAGGAGAAGAGGAGGGGGCACAGGUGAGAGGGGAGGAUGAGAGUGAGAGUUUAGGAGGGUGAUGGAGAUGUGUGUGGGGAGGAGGGAGAGACAGAGAGGAGGGUAGGAGAGGAGGGUAUGAAAUGAAAGGGUAUGUGGAGAUGAGUGAUGACCAGUGAAGAGAAGAGGAGGAGGAGGAGGAGAAGGAGAAGGACUGGAAAGAAGAGGGGAAGGAUUGAGACGAUUCGAGAGCAAUGUAAAUAAAGGAGAAGAAAGAAUAUGAAAAUAAUUGAGGGGAGAAGAGUUAAGUUUAUGAAAAAAAAAAUAGUUGAAGAAAUGAAAUACGAAUAUGAGAGAAAAGGAAGUAAGAAAAGGAGAAAGAAAAAUGAAAGAUAAAUAAAAAAAAGAGGGAAAAGAAAAAUCUGAAAGAAAGAGGAAGAAGAAGCAAGGAGAAAAAAAAAUGAAAUAGGAAGGAGAACAAGCAAAGAGAAAAACAAAAUGAAGAAAAUAUGAAAGAGCAAAAUAAUAGGAGAAAAAACAAAGAAGGAAAAGGAGAUAAAUGACUGGUAAUAAAAGGAAGGAUGAAGUAAAGGGGAACAGGAAAGAACAUAGUAGUAGUUAUGCCUUACUUCAGUGCAAUACAAUUCAGUGCAAUACUACAUCAAAUACCUAAAUAUGUUCAUCUUUCUUAUUUUGGUCAGAAAUACAAUAAAGUUAAAAAAAAAACAAAAAAAAACAGGCAUGUGCAGAGAGAGAGAGAGAGAGAGAGAGAGAGAGAGAGAGAGAGAGAGAGAGAGAGAGAGAGAGAGAGAGACCUACCGACCAACCUAACCUACGAACAUCACAGCUUAAUUUCCUUCCACAGAGAGGUUCGGUUCAGAUCAUAAGAAUAAGAGAAGAUUAAUUUGCGUUUUUCACACGCGAAAUAAAUUAGGGCGAGGCUGCCCGUGAUGGCUUCAAAUGUGACCACGAGAGAGGCUGAUGAGUUCUUGGAAGGCGCCUUGAGAGAGAGAGAGAGGAGGGGGAGGGAGCGUAUCGUGUGGCCUUUCCUGACACCCACCACUGGCAAUUUGAGAACGCGUACUCCCCUUUCUCUCUCUCUCUCUCUCUCUCUCUCUCUCUCUCUCUCUCUCUCUCUCUCUCUCUCUCUCUCUCUCUCUCUCUCUCUCUCUCUCCAGCUCCCGAGGCGUGGCGAGGCGUGGAAGGGAUGAGUUGUGUGUGUGUGUGUGUGUGUCCAGAGAGAGAGAGAGAGAGAGAGAGAGAGAGAAAGAGAGAGAGAGAGAGAGAGAGAGGGUAAGCGGCAGAUAAACAUAUAAACAAACACAUAGACAAACAGAUAGUUAAGCAAACAAACAGACAGACAGACAGACAGACACGCAGACAAGUAAAAAUGAUCACAAAACACACAUCAGUUCACCAGCUUGCUGCACGUGCUCCUCAGUGUCAGGAAGGCGAAAGAUGACGGUCGUGGUUACAUUGUUAAAGAGUUCCCUGUCACGCUGCAUAACAAGGUGACGCCAUUGAUAGCAAACUGAUGCGGCUAAAUUAACUUUUUAUUUUAUUUUUCUUCUCAUUGGUGAAAGCUGUGAUCAAUAUUAAGUGGUCGAGUGUGCCAGUGCUAUUUGUUGUUGAUGGUUUCCUCAGCAAAGAGAUUAUUACACGACAAAGUGCGCGCUUACUCCUCCUAUCCUUUUUUUUUUAUCUUUUACAUUAAAACUGAGUGAAAAAAAAAAGAUUAUCACAUGGCAAAAUGUACUCUUACUUCCUGCGUUUCCCCCUUUUUUUCUCUUUUACAUAAGAACUGAGUGAGAUAACGUACUCCAGUGAACCAGAGCUAUUCCUUGUUGGUUCUUUGGCUCAGGGACGAGGUUAUUAAGAGACGAGAUGAAUUUAUUGCCAUGCGCAUUGUCGCGGUUUCUUGUUUCUCAACGCCGUGAAAAUUGAAUGAACUAGUAAGGUCAAGCGUACCAAACCCAGACUUGUUGACUCUUUGCUCCGGGAAGAAAAUAUUACUCGACAAAAUUUAUUUCUUACGACUUUAAGGUUGAUUCAUUCCCCCAGAAAUGAAUGGUUUGCUGCUUCUGAACGGACAAUGCAGUACAAGAAAAGCUCCUGAACCCUUUUUAAUUUACUCAUCUUAAUCUGUUAUUGCCCUUUUCUUGCCUCAUCUCUCGCCUUCUCCGUGUGAUGUACCAUUUUAUGCUACCUUCUACAUUGCCAGCUGUUUGGUUACCUUUAAUACCUUUUUAUUGGAUUUUGAUGCCACAUGAUUCUCCUCCUUCGUAAAUAUCAAGUCGAUCUCUUCCUCUCCUUUCGUCGCUUUUCUCCAUCCUCCUCGUCUUCCUUAAUUUCCUUCCCUUUCCUUCCCGCUGCUUUUUUUUUUUCUGCCGUCUGGUCAACCUGUCAGCAAUAAUCUUAAUGUAUUCACACACGAAGGGCAAAGUCUCGGCCCGUAAAUACCUCCUCUCAGGAAUCUUCAUAUACUGGCGAGAAUAUUCUAAAGUACAGUAAUAGUGACAAAAAAAUCUCAACAUCAAGUAAUAAAGGACAGACGAGUCACUUGCAGAUGAUUGGCUACAGAAUGCGUCCUCUCUCACCUGUGCUUUUGUUUACAUGAAUCUGGCCAAGGGUUUUAAAAGCAGAAAACGGGUACGCUAAUUUGUCGCUCCUAAGAAGGUUAAUUGGGAAAAAGAAGUGCUGGAAAAAUUGUUGGUUAUGGACAGGUGUUUAUUUCUGACUAAUUAACGAUAUCACCUGUGGUAUGAGAGAGAGAGAGAGAGAGAGAGAGAGAGAGAGAGAGAGAGAGAGAGAGAGAGAGAGAGAGAGAGAGAGAGAAGAAAUGAUGAAACAAAAGAUAAUGCGGGAGAAAGGAAAGAAAAAACGUUAGGCAGACAGCAAAAAAAAAAAAAAAGUGAUAAAAUAAAAUGAACAGCUGAUAGUAGUAGUGGUGGUGGCGGUGGCGGCGGCGGCCAGACACAAACACAGAAACCAAAUCAACAAACAUCAAGUCCAUCCAUCUCACAAAACUAUGAAAUAUGCCAAAGGAAAGCAAAACAUCACGCCACGGAGGGAGGGAAGGGAGAGGAGGCGUGCCCAAGACAACAGUGACAACAGCGACGGCCGAUUCCCCGCGACAACGAUCUGGCGAAGCUUUGUGAGGCGCGAGAGUAAUAGUCAGGUCACUGUUAGGGGAGCUUUCUCUCUCUCUCUCUCUCUCUCUCUCUCUCUCUCUCUCUCUCUCUCUCUCUCUCUCUCUCUCGUGUUUUUCUUCUUUUCCUUCCUUUCUCUCCAAUUUCUCAUUAUUUUUAACCUUUUUCGUCUUAUUUUCUUCCCUCAUCAUUUAACCUUCAAUUUUUUUUUUCUUUACCAGUCCAUUCUUCCUCUAUCUCCCUUCCUAGCUGCUUCUUCCCUUUAUCCUUCCCUUACAUCCAUUCCUCUUCUCCUUAUUCUGUGUCUUGUCUUUCCAUCCCAUCUGUCUGUUUCUCUCUUAUCUCUCGUUCGUUCCUUUCAUCCUUCUUCUCCCUCCUUUUCCUUUUCUCCUUACCCUGUGUCUUGUCUUUCCUUCCUAUCUCUCGUAUCGUUCUUAUCUCCCUCUCCCUUUCAGUGCAUCCUCGUCCUUCCCAGCCUCUCUUUCUUCCUCCAUACCUUCACUUCUCUCUUUACUCACAAGAUUCCUGGAACGUGUUAGCUCACCUCUCCCAGUCCCUCUCUUUCUCGACUCUUUUCCACCCUUCCAUUUCUUCUCCUCCUUCUCACUCUCACAAUACCCACACUUAAUCUUGUUCCCUCUUCACGUGGCUUACUUUAACUUGGCUUCAUUUACUUGUCCUUCAUCCUUCACCACUGCCACCACUGCUGACACUACCACCACCACCACCACCACCACCACCACUGCUGACACUACCGCCACCACCACCACCACCACCACCACCACUGACAGCUGUUCUUUUAUUUUUAUUUAUUUAUUUAUUUUUUUUUUGCCGACUUUUGCCGUACGAAUUUUUCUUUCUUUUUCCCGCAGUAUCUUUUGUUUCAUCUUUAUCUCUUCUGUUUUUUUGUCGUUUUUUCUUUUGUUUCUUUCUUUUUCUCUCGUUUUCUGUUAGUCAGUCAGUCAGCUAAUCAAUCAGUCUUUCUAUAUAUCUAUUCGUCUGUCUAUUUAUCUAUUUGUCUGUCUGUCUGUCUGUCUAUCUAUCCAUCUGUCUAUCUUUCUGUAUAUCUUUUUUUUUUUCUUAAAUGGAUGAAAAUCGUUUGUUUCCAUGGUAAGAGAGAAAAAUGGUGUUUAUUGCACUGAAAGUGAACUCUGUGUGUGUGUGUGUGUGUGUGUGUGUGUGUGUGUGUGUGUGUGUGUGUGUGUGUGUGUGUGUGUGUGUGUGUGUGUGUACUGAGUGGUGUAUUAUGCAUUUGUGAGUGUAUUUUUCACCUCUUGUCUCUGAUAAAAAGUGUAAUGUUGUUUAUAUUCAUUUCGUCGCGUCAUAUUUCGUGAUUAAGUCUUUCAUUAUUUUUUACGCUCACACUUUUUUUUAAAUUUUUUUAUUUUUUGUUCAUUCAUUUUCUGUUUUACAAAGGUCAUGCAUGCAAAUAAGUGUAAUUUUAGCUGCAGGUGAGUGUUCCAGGCUGUAUGUAGUGAAUCAAUCUCUCUCUCUCUCUCUCUCUCUCUCUCUCUCUCUCUCUCUCUCUCUCUCUCUCUCUCUCUCUCUCUCUCUCUCUCUCUCUCUCGAUAUUCUGUCUUUAUCCACCAUUUAUUGCUAAAUAUUAUAACUUUUCAGAAAAAUCGCUAUAUUCUUUAUAAAUACAUUCGGCAAUAAACUACUACUACUACUACUACUACUACUACUACUACUACUACUACUACUACCACCACCAUUCUCUCUCUCUCUCUCUCUCUCUCUCUCUCUCUCAUUAGAUUAACAGCAGCAUUUCGCACAGGUUUCAUAAUUAUAAACAGCUCGCGUUAAUCACGGGAUACGAGAAUGCCGUCUAUGUUCGCUAUUACGGAGCGUGAGUCUAUCUCCGUCAGUAAUUCCAUCCCUGGCUGCGUGGAUCAUACGUACUACUUGCUCUCUGGUCCCUCUGGCUAGGUUAGGUUAGUCCAUCUUUGUCCCCUGCUUUCCUUUUAUGAUUUUGCGCUGUUUAGUCGUAUAGAUUCUCUCGUGGCUUGCUUUUUUUCUUAAUGCAUCUUUCUUUUUUUUAUUUUCCUUUACUAUAAUCCCACAAAAUAUAAAUUCAUCAGUUUUUCUCUCUUUUUUUUUUUUUUUUUACCCACUACAAUUGAGAUGAGAUUUACGUAGCAUUCUUUUAUGUUUCACUUCCUUACUUACUCCUUGUCAGUCUUUUGUACUUAACCCUUCCUUUAUUAUGGUCCCACAAAAAAAAAAAAAAAAAAAUCCUUAUAAAUUCGCCUGUUUUUCUCUUCUCUUUCGUCCAUUACAUAGUGAGAUAAGAUUUACUUACUAUUCUUUUAUGUUUCACUUCCUUACCUCUUGUCUAUUUUUCGUCUUUAAUCUUCCCUUACUAUGAUUCCACAAAAUUUUCCUUAUAAAUUCACCUGUUUUUCUCUUUUCCCCUUCAACAUAUGCUGGGGUCAGAAUCACUAUCCUAUCCUAUUUUUCGUCCCUUUUAUUCCUCCUCCUCUUUAGUCUCCCUCCCUUGCCCCCUUACAGUGACAAGCAUUGAUAGUAGCCCCCUCUUAUCUUGUUGACAAAUAGCCCUUCGAUUCACUACCCUCCUCAUCCCUAUGUUCCUCUCCCCCUUCUCCCCAUACCUCCCCGUUCUCUCCCUUGUAUCUUCCUCGUAAAACAGCGGAAAUGGAAACAAAUUUGGAAAGGGAUCUGCAAUUUUCGAGCGGUAUUUAGGCCUAUGUUUAUCCAUCGAAUAGGCCGAGAAUGGGUAGGCCGCGGCUGCCUGGCUUCUUCAUCCGCUGCGCUGCUUGACAAAUGUGCGAGGCUUCUUGUAGUGAGGAGUUAAUGGGCCAAGAAAGAAAUAGAGGAGAAGUAAGAGGAGGAGGAGGAGUUAUAGGAGGGAGAAAGAGUAAGAGAGAAGGGAGGUGAAAGAGGAGCGAGUUAUUGUUUAUGAUAAGGAAGAGAAGGAGGAGGACGGACACAGAGAAGCAGGAAUAAUGAAGAAGGAGAGUGCCUGGAAUAAAUGAAUAUGGAAUGAGGGAAUACGAGGAAGGAUGAUGAUAAGACAGUAAGGGACAGAGAGAGAGAGAGAGAGAGAGAGAGAGAGAGAGAGAGAGAGAGAGAGAGAGAGAGAGAGAGAGAGAGAGAGAGAUUAAAGUGAUGCUAUAUAAAAGUUGCCUGACAAAAAAGGACGAAAGGAAGCUUGGGAAAAUAUGACCCUUGCAGCAUAAACAUAAAAAUAAUAUGAAAAUUAAGCCGAAAAAAAAAAAACGAAGAAAACUCAUGAAAAUGUGAUGAUGAAAGAAAAUGGUGAGUUAACUUAUAGAAGGUCACGCAAAAUGUUGUGAAAAUUAAUACAAAAGAAGUCUCCCCCCAAAAAAAAAACAGGAGGAACAAAAUGCUGCCUAAAACACGUACACAGAAAAAAAAGAGAGAAAUAAAAUAAAAGGAAAAAAGUAAAAAAAAAAAGAAAAGAAA